GCUACGGGUGGCAGCAGUGAGGAAUAUUGGUCAAUGGGCGUAAGCCUGAACCAGCCAAGUCGCGUGAGGGAUGAAGGUUCUAUGGAUCGUAAACCUCUUUUAUAAGGGAAUAAAGUGUGGGACGUGUCCUGUUUUGUAUGUACCUUAUGAAUAAGGAUCGGCUAACUCCGUGCCAGCAGCCGCGGUAAUACGGAGGAUCCGAGCGUUAUCCGGAUUUAUUGGGUUUAAAGGGUGCGUAGGCGGCCUUUUAAGUCAGCGGUGAAAGUCUGUGGCUUAACCAUAGAAUUGCCGUUGAAACUGUGAGGCGUGAGUAUGUUUGAGGCAGGCGGAAUGCGUGGUGUAGCGGUGAAAUGCAUAGAUAUCGCGCAGAACUCCGAUUGCGAAGGCAGCGUACCGGCGCCGGACUGACGCUGAGGCACGAAAGCGUGGGUAUCGAACAGGAUUAGAUACCCUUGUAGUC
rnacentral:rRNA from 1 species